UACAGAGGGGGCGAGCGUUGUUCGGAAUUACUGGGCGUAAAGGGCGCGUAGGUGGCCUGCUAUGUCGAACGUGAAAUCCCUGGGCUCAACCCAGGAACUGCGUCCGAAACUGGCAGGCUCGAAUCCGGGAGAGGGAUGUGGAAUUCCAGGUGUAGCGGUGAAAUGCGUAGAUAUCUGGAGGAACACCCAUGGCGAAGGCAGCAAACUGGGCAUCAUCUGACGCUGAGGCGCGAAAGCGUGGGUAGCAAACAGG
rnacentral:rRNA from 1 species